rnacentral:misc_RNA from 1 species
GGUUUCAGUAGCUCCUACGUGGCCACGUUCAUGGGGUUCAUAGUUAGUAUUUAAAAACAAAGAUCAGUCAGAGAAUCGGUCAGUUUCAUCUCGUUCCUUUCUGCUACUGUUUGUUAUUUUUGAUUGGCGAUUGCCUAUUUAUCGUAAACUUGAACGCAGCUGGAAAAUAGUGACGGAAACGUUAGUGCAGUUUUGAUUAUCCGUAUUAUCAGGUUCGGAUUUGUUCAGAAAAUGACUGACGUCGUAAAUCCCAGUUUGAACAGGAAAAUGCCCACUUCCGGUAUAGCCGAGGAGGCAGCCCUAUUGGGGACCAUGCCCUCCGAUUCUAUGGACGAUAUUGAAUUGAAGAAUAUAAAACUGCAAUUCCCUCAUGCUCGAUCCAUGUCCAGAGAAGAUUCCAAUGCCCAGGAAGAAGUGGUGGAAACCGAGCGUGGAAAUGUAGUGGUUGCAGUUCAAGGAAAUAGAAGCAAACCUGCCAUUGUAACUUAUCAUGAUUUGGGACUUAAUUAUAUUUCCAAUUUUCAAGCAUUUUUCAACUACAUCGAUAUGCGUGCUUUAAUAGAAAACUUCUGCAUUUACCAUGUGAACGCUCCUGGGCAAGAGGAAGGUGCCCAUACUUUACCCGAAGAUUACAUUUAUCCUUCUAUGGAUGAGUUGGCCGAUCAGCUGAAUCAUGUUGUGCUCCAUUUCAAUCUGAAACACUUCAUCGGGUUUGGAGUUGGGGUUGGAGCCAAUAUUCUUUGCCGAUAUACCCUUAAUCAUCCUGAAAUGGUUUCUGCUCUCUGUCUAAUCAACUGCGUAAGCACGCAACCUGGAUGGAUCGAAUGGGGUUACCAGAAGCUCAACACCAGACAUUUGAGAUCCAAAGGAAUGACCGAAGGCGUUUUGGAUUAUCUAAUGUGGCAUCACUUUGGAAGGAACACGGAAGACCGUAGCCGAGACUUGGUGCAAGUCUACAAGUCCUAUUUCGAGAGAAAUGUGAACCCGACAAAUCUGGCUCUUUUCAUCGACAGUUACGUGAAAAGAACAGACCUGAACAUUCACAGGGAUCCAGAUCCCACAAAGAAGAACGCAGCUACGCUCAAAGUGCCGGUCAUAAAUAUUACCGGGGCUUCGAGCCCUCAUGUAGACGACACUGUGACAUUUAACGGAAGAUUGGAUCCCACUAAUUCUUCAUGGAUGAAGAUUUCCGACUGUGGCAUGGUUCUUGAAGAGCAACCAGGAAAAGUGAGCGAAGCCUUUCGAUUAUUCCUGCAAGGCGAAGGCUAUGCUGUUCAUGUGAGACGGAGGUCUAGCUGUAUGAGUGUUGGUUCGUUAGGAACACCAAAGUAAACUUUAGUGUUUAACUCAGAGUUAAAAUUAAAGGUCAGUGACCAUGACCAUUCUUGUUUGCCAUUGGCUCCGUUGUCUCCUGUGAAAAUGGCUCUAUUUCGGAAACAAUCGCUGGAAAAACUGUUUAAGGGCAGACUUAAAACUUCCGGUCAAUGUCUUCAGGGCAUUAUGAAUAUUAUUGAAAAUCCCAUUUCUGCAGUGCUGUGUUAAACAUUAUCUGACAUCCGGACAAACACACUCAAACCAAGCCAUUUGAACGAGUCUAGACAGGUUCUGUAGUUGAAAAUAACAUUCCAUAUUUAUUUGCUCGUUAAAAAAAUAACGCUUCUGCAAACUUUCCGUUUAGAUGGACAUUGCAAAUUCGAAAAAAAUACAUUUUUGGGUGUGAUUGAUAAAUUUCGGAUAAAUCCCUGUAGUGACUGUAUUGAAAUUUAUGUGAUUGUGAAACAAAGGGUACUAGGUAAGAAAACCAUAUAGUUUGAUACUCGGAUUAAGCAGAAAAAAUUGAAUCAAUCCAAAUUAUUUUAUAUAUCGACAAUAAAGCAAAAUGUUGAAUGGUUGGAGACGUAUGAAAGUUAUUUUUUCAUAAGGAAGUCGUGGCGAUAAAUUUCAAUACAGAGUAUUUCUUCGGAUAAGUUGGCCACUGCCUGAGCUACAGUAAACCUAGCAAAGCGAAGCACAUAUCCUACACAUUGGUUCAACCAAAUAAAAAGUCGUAAGCAAAUGUCGAACCAGACACAAAUACACAUCUUAAAUUGCUCAACAUUUUCUUCUAAUAAAACUUUUCGAUACAAUUUUACAUUCAAACUCUUUGCAAACGAAUCUUACCCAUCUUACGACUUUUUAAGUAUUUUAGAAUGAUUUAAUAUAAUUAUUUAAGAACUUAAGUAGACGCUAACAAAUUUAUUCAGCAUAAUAUGACAAAUGGAAUCUCAUGUGCAAUAUCUCAACUACCCUUAUGCAACCGCGUUUAUACAGGCUGGUACAAAUUGAGCGGGUAAUUGGCAAUAUUUUUUUUAUCAAGAAAUGUGAAAGAAUUGUAUUUUUUUAAAUGGGAAAAAUGAGGAAACAUUGCAGGGCAAUUACGAGAUAUUAAAAAAUAGUAAUUUAAUUGUCUCAUAGAAUUUUGUAUUCUGUAUUCUUUUGCACAGAGAAAAAGAUGUUAGCAGAUUUAAUUAAUAUUUGAACUCCAGGCACGCGCAUGAUAGUUUUUCAGGUUUCACCAUCUUAAUCAGUCCAAUCAAUAUAAUUUUUUCACAUUUUAACUUAUACGAGAAAAUCAUAUAGUCCAAUAGGACUUAAUUUGUAAUAUCCUGUAUACUUUCAUAAGGCGUAAAGUUUUGCGUAUCUAUAGAGAACUUAGAAGCGACUUAAAUCUUUGAACCAAAAACAAAAAAGUUCAUUUUUGAACGAAAAAGUAACAUAACUAGAAUGUGUUCUGAUGUUUAAUUUUUCCUUCAAAAAACUUGUUUUUAAACAAUACAUUUGCUGUGAAAAAUGCGUUUAAUUGAAGUCAAUGAUGGGGCUAACUCAACAAAAAGCAUAUACAAAACGUUUACUCAAGAUAAGCCUGCUGAACUUACGACAAGAAAAAAUAAUACGCUACUUUUUCCGAAACACGAAUAUUAAUAUUAGCGGUAUUUUAGUAUAUUAAAAUCAACAGCCUACUGUAAGCAAAUAAGUGAGUAUUUCCUCUGACUAUAUAGAUGAGCUUUUAGAAAAAUCUGACCAUUAUAUUUGCGUUUUCUACGGGGUGUUGCUUAUAUAGCUAGCAAACACUCAGUUGGAACUAAAUGCACUUUCAGUAUCUGUAACUUUUAUGACCGAAAUUCAAGUGGCUGUGCUACGUUUGUUGGUUUUUUUUCUCGGUGAUAAUAAUUAUUUUGAACACCCUGUCCAAUUUCGUAGGCUCUUAGAUCCAAUUACUUUAGAAAAACGUAUUUAAUUAUAGUGUAUUCAUGUAACUAUCGAGGAAACCUAGAAAGGAUUCAAAUCAAUCAUUCAAGAUUAAGCAAAAUAGACUGACGGCAAUUUCCUCGAUAUUUCGCAAGUAUUUAGCCAAUAAGGAUCGAAAGGAAAAUUUAAUCAAGAGCUUUGUUGCAGUUUCGUUUUCAUUAAUUCUAAUUCUCAACUAUUCACUUAGCUAUAGAAGAAUGCUUACAUUUUGUACCUUAGUUGAGUCCUUAAGUGCAAAACUACUUUCAAUGUGAUUUUAAGAAAAUAUAAGAAUUACACUUAUAAGAUGAAAUAUAUAAAAUAACGCGCAUUGUGCCUCACUUUGAUUAUUUAAGUUAAGCACUGAUUGAUUUUAAUAAAAUUGUUGAAAAAAUGUU